ACGGUUGUGUGUGUUGUGGAUUGUAUCAGUUACGAAUAUGUCUGCUGUGUGCCUGGGUGUAAUUCCUACUACAAAAGACGGGAAAAAGACAAAACACGUUCGUUCCACCGGUUCCUGACAGACACCAGAUUGAAGAGAGAGUGGAUUUCAAAAAUUAGAAUCAGAGACAUCGGUACAUUUUUCCAGCAAUGAACCUGCUGGAGAGACAGAAGAUGCCAGUGUAAGCUUAGACCUGGCUGGAGUUGACACUGGUGCAGACCAAGUUGUUAAGCCAGCACCCCACUCUGACCAUGACUAUGCUGAACUCUCGGUCACUGGAAGAGCAGCUAGAAGCAGCACGGAAGGAGAUCUCCUGCGUAAGGCGGGCAAAUACCAUCCUCAAGGCAUCCUGUUUCAGCUUGAAGCAAAAAUGAUUCAAAGUUCUUGACAUUCUACACUGGAUUUCGGGUGAAUAAUUAUCCAACAUGAAGUCUUUUUCUACAGUGUUGUUACUAUAGUACUUUCUACAGUAUUAGCAAUACUUUGGACACAAACUCAUACAGUAA